AGCUUUGCGCAGUGGUAAAAAUCGCAACCAAUGAAGUUUUAUCGAGGUAUGAUUAUUGCUAGCUGGAAAUUAAACGCAUUUCUUGGGAACUAAUAGUUCGAUAGUCUUUCGAAUUGUGGACAUUUGAUUACGUUUAUUUUGAGAACAAAAAUCAA